rnacentral:rRNA from 1 species
GACGAACGCUGGCGGCGUGCCUAACACAUGCAAGUCGAACGGAAAGGCCCUGCUUUUGUGGGGUGCUCGAGUGGCGAACGGGUGAGUAACACGUGAGUAACCUGCCCUUGACUUUGGGAUAACUUCAGGAAACUGGGGCUAAUACCGGAUAGGAGCUCCUGCUGCAUGGUGGGGGUUGGAAAGUUUCGGCGGUUGGGGAUGGACUCGCGGCUUAUCAGCUUGCUGGUGGGGUAGUGGCUUACCAAGGCUUUGACGGGUAGCCGGCCUGAGAGGGUGACCGGCCACAUUGGGACUGAGAUACGGCCCAGACUCCUACGGGAGGCAGCGGUGGGGAAUAUUGCACAAUGGGCGGAAGCCUGAUGCAGCGACGCCGCGUGCGGGAUGACGGCCUUCGGGUUGUAAACCGCUUUCGCCUAUGACGAAGCGUGAGUGACGGUAAUGGGUAAAGAAGCACCGGCUAACUACGUG